rnacentral:rRNA from 1 species
AAUGAACGUUGGCGGCGUGGAUUAGGCAUGCAAGUCGAGCGCGAACUGUAGCAAUACAGGGAAAGCGGCGAAAGGGAGAGUAACACGUAGGUACCUACCCUCGGGUCUGGGAUAGCUGCGGGAAACUGCAAUUAAUACCGGAUGACGUCUCUGGACCAAAGGUGUGAUUCCGCCAGGGGAUGGGCCUGCGUCCUAUUAGCUAGUUGGUGGGGUAAUGGCUCACCAAGGCAAAGAUGGGUACGGGUGUGAGAGCAUGCCCCCGCUCACUGGGACUGAGACACUGCCCAGACACCUACGGGAGGCAG